rnacentral:tRNA from 1 species
GCAGUGGUGGUCCAGUGAUAGAAUUCUCACCUUCUAUGUGAGAGAUCUAGGUUCGAUUUCCAGCCAAUGCU